UUUAGAGAUGAAAAAAUAAAAAAAAAUUGAGGAUAAAAUAAAACAAAAUGAGGAGAAAAUAAAACAAAAUGAGGAGGAAAUAAAGCAAAAUGAGGAUAAAAUAGAAAAUAUUGAGGAUAAAAUAGAAAAUGUUGAGGAUAAAAUAGAAAAAAUUGAGGAUACAAUAGAAAAAAUUGAGGAUAAAAUAGGAAAUAUUGAGAAUAAAAUAGAAAAAAUUGAGGAUAAAAUAGGAAAUAUUGAGAAUAAAAUAGGAAAUAUUGAGGAUAAAAUGGGAAAUAUGGAAGAUAAAAUAGGAAAAAUUGAGGAUAAAAUGCAAGCCCAAUUAGAAGAUCUAAAAAGUUUCUUACAGGAUCAAUUGACAAACAACCACUCUACCAGAAAUAGACCUGUUUCUGAACCUUUGAAUGAGGAAAUUUCCUUCCCUGAAAUAGAGAUGGAAAGCACCUUUCCUAUAGCCCAGUUAACAGACUGCUUCUCUCGUGUAGUGCAAAUCUUGUCUGAAUUUAAUCCCCAAAACCCUUCCCCGGCAAUCCCAGAUUCUCAUGUUCCUUCUCCUACAGAAAACCAAAUUCCAAUGCAAGAAAGAUCUUGUCCCCCUAGAAAAACCUGUCCUUGUCAAACUGACCCACAGGUGCAAAAUCCAACUAGAGGCCUGUUUCCUCUAAGAGAAGUACCUGAAAUAGGACGAAAUGGGGAUGUGGUGACUUUAAGACAUAGGAUACCGUUUACUCCCCAAGAAAUAAAUGAAUUUACACGAAAUAUUCCCACAUAUGAACAAGAUCCUUUUCUAGUAACAAAAAAGAUGGGAGACAUAUUUUUUCAGUAUAAUCCGUCUUACAAGGACGUUGAGAGCUUACUCCAGGCUUUUUUAAGUGAACGUGAAAAAAAUAAAAUAAUUGCUCAUGUCAACAAAACCAGGGGGCGUAAUGCAGCACAUUGGCCAUCUCAGGAUCCCGAAUGGGACUAUAACAAUCCUGAGGAUUAUCUACAACUAUACCGUUGUAGAGAGGCCAUCCUCACGUCCAUGAAGGAAUGUGCGGACAGUACAGAUAAGUGGAUGGAACUGGAAAAAAUUAAGCAAAAGGAAAAUGAAACACCCUCCAGAUUUAUGGACAGAAUUAUCGAGUUUGGGGACAGAUACUUAGAUUGGGACUUAACUAAAGAGAGUAGUAUAAGACAAGUUAGAAGAAUCUUUGUAAACAAUUCUUGCAAAGCAAUUAAAAAUUAUUUCAAAACACAAUGCCCAAGAUGGUCAGAUAUGGACCUUGAAGAAUUGCGAAAAACAGCUAUAUAUGUUUUAAAGGGAAACGAAGAAAAGGAGAAAGAAAAUGAUGAUGACAUGGAGGAAAUGAAGAAAAAAAUGAGAUAUUUAAUAGAUAGGAUAACUAAAUUAGAAAGUGGGCAGGGUAAUGAACCAACGACAAUUGCCCCUCUCCAGAAAUCCAAUUAUCAAUCCAUUCCUUGCCACUUCUGUGAGAAGAAGGG
rnacentral:lncRNA from 1 species